rnacentral:rRNA from 1 species
UUAGCUGGUCUGAGAGGAUGGCCAGCCACACUGGAACUGAGACACGGUCCAGACUCCUACGGGAGGCAGCAGUGGGGAAUAUUGGACAAUGGGGGAAACCCUGAUCCAGCAAUGCCGCGUGUGUGAAGAAGGCCUGAGGGUUGUAAAGCACUUUCAGUGGGGAGGAGGGUUGAUAGGUUAAGAGCUAAUUAACUGGACGUUACCCACAGAAGAAGCACCGGCUAACUCCGUGCCAGCAGCCGCGGUAAUACGGAGGGUGCGAGCGUUAAUCGGAAUUACUGGGCGUAAAGGGUGCGUAGGUGGUUUAUUAAGUUCUCUGUGAAAUCCCUGGGCUUAACCUGGGCAGGUCAGAUAAGACUGGUAGACUCGAGUAUGG